GGGCUUUAUUUUAAGGCACAAGGUUGAGUUUUGUUGCUCCGGUUCGCGCCGUGUGUAGGUUCACAAUCGCUGGGCUCGGACUCGGACUCGAACUCGGACUCGGUUCGAGUAGAGCAUGUAGAUUCGUCUUGAAGUCACAUUGAUUGGAGUGAUUACCUCUAUGAGUGUGCGAGCGGCAGUGCCAAAAGCGGAGUGGCAGCCAAACAAUCAUACUUGUAUUUUUGACUGACGUAAUGCUAUGGAGACACUUUCCCGACCAAAAUCGAAAUCGGUAGAUCCUUUCUACGUCGGUGGAGGAGCAGCGAUGAUUCUAAAUGGCCGCAUUUCAGAGUUGGCAUCUUCCAACUUCAUCUUCGACUAACUUGGCUGGAGCCCCACCCUGGCGAGUAAUUGGCACUCGACUCGAAUUUAAAUGAUUCUGGCAUUCCUUGGGCGCACUGAACAAAAACUCUUGCCUCUGCCAGCAACGCAAAACUGAAUGGAUAUACAGAUAAAGCAUUAGUAACGCGGGGGAAACCCACAAACAUCAGCAAGAUUAGGACGCGUCCAUUGAAGCGGAUUUAUGUGGAUUUUAUAAAUGAGCACACAGUUUCUUUGCGUGUAUCUUCCAAAAAGGAAAGGUUUAACCACCCCGCAGCUCAUGACUAAAAUUUAAACAGCGCCAUAAUAGUCGGCGGUAAUAAUUAAUUGUUUGCUAAUAAAUAUGAGCUUAUAUAUAGGAAGAGCUCAAAUAAUAACAACAAGCGCACGCGCCGCCUUCUCCAAUGACUAAGUCUCCUUUCAGUCUUCGAGUACGCGAUAAAUGCGAAUGUACAUACAUGUCUACGUAUCUAGAUACGUAGUUCGAGUGUACGAGGUACACAUACGAGUGUAUGUAUAAAUUGUAAAUCAGAUACGGCAUAAAUAUUGAACACAUGGCGCAGUUUCUACGGCCAAGAGUUGUGGGUGUUUGGGGACACAAGAGGGGCACGGAAGGAACUCAACAAAAUCGAAAUAAAAUAAAGCACCAUAAAACGUACUUAAGAUUGACGAUUGUGUUUUGGGGGAGCGAUCAGUGAAAGAGUUUUUGGGGAGACGAUAUAUAGCAAGUACAGUUGAGCACUUGGGUAUACGUCAUAUGUUGGAUUUCAUAUUUCUAGGACUUUCACAAUAUAGUCAUUGUUUUUAUUACUAAAUUAUGAGGGAAUUUGUGAUUGAUUCGGCGAGGGAACGACCCAAGUAGCCGGAAUUCGACUGAAGAACGCGUUGGAUAUAAUUGGCUGUCAGUAUGACUCUUGAUCACCCCACUCAAUCGCACCAUUACUCGGAUACUGAGCAACUGAGCACCGCACAGAUACAUUUUCGAACCAAACAAAAUGUCGGCAGCUGCUUUU